UCGAAUAGUGUGUACAUCGGUUUUCAUGGGUACGUCACUCCGAGGUCCCGGGUUCGAUUCCCGGCCGAGUCGAUGUAGAAAAAGUUCAUUAGUUUUCUAUAUUGUCUUGGGUCUGGGUGUAUGUGGUACCGUCGUUACUUCUGACUUUCCAUAACACAAUGAUAUAGCUACUUACAUUGGGAUCAGAGUAAUGUAUGUGAUGUUGUCUCAUAUUUAUU